UUUGAGACUUAAGGAAAAGCAGCUGACUUAGAACAUGGCAGUUCUUCCUCCCAUUGUUAAAAGUGGGCAGCAGCAGAUACAAAAGAACUCAGGCUGUGGUUGACCUUCCUGAGAGAAGAGGGCUAAUGAGAAGUUAUUAAACAGUUUGACAAGGCCUAAGUAAAUGUGUACUCCUAAGUGCAGGGUGUUAUAAACCCUGUAGUUUUGGAAGUAUUUGUGGUGGGUUUGUUUUUGUUUUUGUUUUUUUCAGAUGAAGGUAAAUAACUUCUGAAAUCCAGUAUAUUCUUUUUUAAGCCAUUUUGAAUUUUCAUAGUGAAAAAUUAGUAUCAGGCAGGUAUUUCCUGUACCUUUAUAGCACCACUCCAGAGGCUAAGAGGUGUGGUUGAGAAGAGUCAGGCUGCAUGUGGAAUGGCAGGGUGCAGAACGAGGUACGUAUACCCAGCUUUGCAGAAACUCUCCUGAGACUUUCUCUUCCUGGUCAUUGAAUGCUGACACCUGGCUAACUAGGGCAUUGCUCAGAGAAGUGUCCUCGUGUCCCACCAACAGCACUUUCAUUUGCAUAUACUAUUGUGCUGCCAUAUAAAGGAGAAAUAGUGAAGAUAUUCUAUAUUUUAUAUAUAGGUUUAUGUAUUGUUGAGGAUGUCGAUGCUGUGCUGUUUUGGACAAAAUAAAAGAAUUCUGUUUUGAGGCUACAUUCUUAACCCAAUUAAGAUUGUUUACAAGGUCACAUAUGACAACAAUAUAAUGUCCUUAUUCCAAAAUAUUUUGAGGUAUUGCCAAGUUUGUUAAAAGCUUUCACGAGAUGUAAGCAAUAAUGUAAAAGAUACGACGAGGUUGUGAGUGAUCAUCUGUGACUCAGACAUGGAGGGAGGGAUUGUUAAGACCAGAAUCUUAAAAACUUUGCUACUCAGACGAUAACAUUUAUAUGAUAUUCUAGAUUGGGAUAUACUUUUUUAUCUUUUGCCAUUAAAGCCUCUUUGAUCUAAAAUAUUUAUGAAGCCACGAGUAAUGAACUUUUGUGUAAUUUUUUAUAUAGAAAAUAGCCCCAAUGUUUAUCGUUAUGAUAGCCCCUGAUGGGGUUAGAAGAUAAAAACAACAUUUUGUUUGUU
rnacentral:lncRNA from 1 species